UACGUAGGCAGCAAGCGUUGUUCGGAGUUACUGGGCGUAAAGGGUGCGUAGGCGGUCCUAUAAGUAUGGUGUGAAAUCUCCCGGCUUAACUGGGAGGGUGCGCUAUAGACUGUGGGACUAGAGUGUGGGAGAGGAAAGUGGAAUUCCUGGUGUAGCGGUGAAAUGCGUAGAUAUCAGGAGGAACACCGGUGGUGUAAACGGCUUUCUGGACCAUAACUGACGCUGAGGCGCGAAAGCUAGGGGAGCAAACAGG
rnacentral:rRNA from 1 species